rnacentral:misc_RNA from 1 species
GAUGAAGAACGCAGCGAAAUGCGAUAAGUAAUGUGAAUUGCAGAAUUCAGUGAAUCAUCGAAUCUUUAAACGCACAUUGCGCCCCUUGGUAUUCCGAGGGGCAUGCCUGUUCGAGCGUCAUUACACCACUCAAGCUAUGCUUGGUAUUGGGCGUCGUCCUUAGUUGGGCGCGCCUUAAAGACCUCGGCGAGGCCACUCCGGCUUUAGGCGUAGUAGAAUUUAUUCGAACGUCUGUCAAAGGAGAGGAACUCUGCCGACUGAAACCUUUAUUUUUCUAGGUUGACCUCGGAUCAGGUAGGGAUACCCGCUGAACUUAAGCAUAUCAAUAAGCGGAGGA